rfam:Geomicrobium sp. JCM 19038 DNA, contig: JCM19038.contig00014.
UAAUAGCUAAAUAUACUGCCGCAGACAGUAGGUGCACGAUUGUGCGUAAAUCCUGCCGAGGUAUCGAUCCUAUAAAAUGACACUGCGUGUCAUUCGGAAUCUCCUCUGUCUGUGUGCUCAUGGACAGGGGAGUUUUUUGAUCCUCUG